UACGUAGGGUGCGAGCGUUAAUCGGAAUUACUGGGCGUAAAGCGUGCGCAGGCGGCGCGUUAAGACAGGUGUGAAAGCCCCGAGCUUAACUUGGGAAUUGCGCUUGUGACUGGCGUGCUGGAGUGUGGCAGAGGGAGGUGGAAUUCCACGUGUAGCAGUGAAAUGCGUAGAGAUGUGGAGGAACACCGAUGGCGAAGGCAGCCUCCUGGGCCAGCACUGACGCUCAUGCACGAAAGCGUGGGGAGCAAUCCGG
rnacentral:rRNA from 1 species